rnacentral:RNase_P_RNA from 1 species
GGAGAAGACUGGGUGAUCGCUCAUGGCGGAGACGCUAGGAGAGGAAAGUCCGGACUUCAUGGGCAGGGCGCUGGGUAACUCCCAGGCGGAGCAAUCCGACACCAGCACCACAGAAAAUAGACCGCCGAUGGCCUUGGUGACAGGACUCUCAUCCGGUCACCAAGUCUCAGGUAAGGGUGAAACGGUGGAGUAAGAGCCCACCGCGGUGGUGGCGACAUCACCGGCACGGUAAGCGUUGCCCGAUGCAAGGCCAAAUAGGAAGACAUCUGCCGGCUUUCUUCGGAAAACCGGCAACCGGCUGGCCCGGCCGAGGUCUUCGGGUAGGUCGCUUGAGGUUCGAGGUAACUCGAAUCCCAGAGAAAUGAUCAUCUCUACUUGGGAGCAUAUCCCAGGCAAGACAGAAUCCGGCUUAUCGGUCUUCUCCAUCG